UACGUAGGGUGCGAGCGUUGUCCGGAUUUAUUGGGCGUAAAGAGCUCGUAGGCGGCUUGUCGCGUCGACUGUGAAAGCCCGCGGCUCAACCGCGGGUCUGCAGUCGAUACGGGCAGGCUAGAGUUCGGUAGGGGAGACUGGAAUCCUGGUGUAGCGGUGAAAUGCGUAGAUAUCGGAAGGAACAUCAGUGGCGAAAGCGACUUCCUGGACCAAUACUGACGCUCAUGUGCGAAAGCGUGGGGAGCAAACAGG
rnacentral:rRNA from 1 species